AGUGAACGCUGGCGGUAGGCCUAACACAUGCAGGUCGAACGGCAGCACAGUAAGAGCUUGCUCUUACGGGUGGCGAGUGGCGGACGGGUGAGGAAUACAUCGGAAUCUACUUUUUCGUGGGGGAUAACGUAGGGAAACUUACGCUAAUACCGCAUACGACCUACGGGUGAAAGCAGGGGAUCUUCGGACCUUGCGCGAUUGAAUGAGCCGAUGUCGGAUUGGCUAGUUGGCGGGGUAAAGGCCCACCAAGGCGACGAUCCGUAGCUGGUCUGAGAGGAUGAUCAGCCACACUGGAACUGAGACACGGUCCAGACUCCUACGGGAGGCAGCAGUGGGGAAUAUUGGACAAUGGGCGCAAGCCUGAUCCAGCCAUACCGCGUGGGUGAAGAAGGCCUUCGGGUUGUAAAGCCCUUUUGUUGGGAAAGAAAAGCAGCAGGUUAAUACCCCGCUGUUCUGACGGUACCCAAAGAAUAAGCACCGGCUAACUUCGUG
rnacentral:rRNA from 1 species